AGUUUCAAAAAUAUAAUUUAGUAGUGUUUUCGUCAAAAAUAAAAUUUAAGUAUUUAUGCCGUAAAUUAAUCAAAUUUACUAAAUUAGCCUUUCUCUUUCAAAACCGAAAUGUAAUAAUGAUUCCAUUACUAAACCUAAAAUUUUGAUUUUCAAAAAAAAUUGAGAGUUACAGAGUUACAAUACAACAAAAAUUCUUACUUUUUGUAGACUGUAUCUGAGCUUUUGGUAUCAUCUGAUACCUGAAAACAAUCUUCAUCUCCUCUCAAUUGGGUCAUUUUUCUUCUUCGGAUUCAUUAUCUCAUCUCAAUUGAAUCUAGCUUUCUCUAUAUUCUCAUUGGGUCUCCAUGAAUUUGUUUAAACAUGCAUAAAUUACUCAAAACCCCUUUAAACCCUAAUUUCUCUCUCUUUCGCCGCUCAUCCGGUUGGAUUCUCCGCCCAAUUCAUCAGCCAAAAUCAACAGUACCCAUUUACUGCAUAAUGUAGAGGAUCAGAUACAAUCAGGUUUCAGAGAUGUGUUUUUGCUGACAUUCCCCAUUUAUUCAUCUCUCCUUCUUUUAUUAGGAACAUACAUUUCUUUUAAAAACUUAGCCUAGUGUUUUGAUCGAAAUGGAGUGUUCAAUGUCACUUUGCUAAAUGACCUUAUUUUGAGCCUAGCUUUUCCGAUACACAUCCUUGUCCGGAAAGCUACUUUUUCAAGAACUAACAAAUGAAUGCCAUUUUACAAAAUGACAUUUAAGAAGCUCUAUUUUCACCGAUUACUCGAGCAAUAUUCAUGAAAAUCAAAACUUGUUGCAACUUUAUCUAUAUCUAUACACUAACUUGUUUGGCUGUCACAACAUUUUUCUUAUCAUAUCAAGAAGAAAGAUGCAAAUGCCUGAAUUUUAUGUUGUAGGCUUGAAUGCAAGAACUUCUUUUUUUCGAAUCUUUUGGCUUGUCAUUGCAUUUUCGGCUCCUCUCCUCUAUUAUCAGAUUCACAAGGGACCUCCUUUGUCACAUGUUGAGGCACAUCUUUCUAGUUCUUCUUGUCCAUACUCCAUACCAUAUGAAGUGGAAAAACAGCACCAUCAAUGAAGCUUCAAAAGAAAGUGGGCAUGUGUUGGACUUGUACACAAUGUGAAGCAAACCCCCUUUUUCUCCUGCAAAGUUUGGUGUAAAUAUAUAAAUGUAUAAAGAAUAAUAAACAUGUAAUUUAUUCACUUUCCUCAAUUAAAAACCAGAGCUUUUAUAAGCAAAAGAUGCCUUUUUUAUAUCAUGGCAAUAUAAAAAAAGACUUGAUCUUUGGGAAGUUAGUUAGAUUUGAUUGAUUUCAUUGUUUCUUUAUCUUUGUUAUACUUUCCUAGUUUUAGGUAAUGAACAUGAACUUGUUUGUGCAGAUAAAAUAUCAAUAAUUGCAGCUCUUA